rnacentral:pre_miRNA from 1 species
AUAUUAGUAUAACUAUGUUCCAUGGACUAUUUGGCAUAUACUUAUACUAAAA